UCCCCAGCAGUCCAGUGGUUAGGACUCCACACUUUCACUGUGGAGGGCCUGAUUUCAAUCUCUGAUUGGGGAA
rnacentral:tRNA from 1 species